UACGGAGGGUGCGAGCGUUGUCCGGAAUCACUGGGCGUAAAGGGCUCGUAGGCGGCCAACUAAGUCAGACGUGAAAUCCCCAGGCUCAACCUGGGAACUGCGUCUGAUACUGGAUGGCUUGAAUCCGGGAGAGGGAUGCAGAAUUCCAGGUGUAGCGGUGAAAUGCGUAGAUAUCUGGAGGAAUACCGGUGGCGAAGGCGGCAUCCUGGACCGGCAUUGACGCUGAGGAGCGAAAGCCAGGGGAGCAAAGCGGG
rnacentral:rRNA from 1 species